AGUGAACGCUGGCGGUAGGCCUAACACAUGCAAGUCGAACGGCAGCACAGUAAGAGCUUGCUCUUACGGGUGGCGGGUGGCGGACGGGUGAGGAAUACAUCGGAAUCUACUUUUUCGUGGGGGAUAACGUAGGGAAACUUACGCUAAUACCGCAUACGACCUACGGGUGAAAGCAGGGGAUCUUCGGACCUUGCGCGAUUGAAUGGGCCGAUGUCGGAUUAGCUAGUUGGCGGGGUAAAGGCCCACCAAGGCGACGAUCCGUAGCUGGUCUGAGAGGAUGAUCAGCCACACUGGAACUGAGACACGGUCCAGACUCCUACGGGAGGCAGCAGUGGGGAAUAUUGGACAAUGGGCGCAAGCCUGAUCCAGCCACACCGCGUGGGUGAAGAAGGCCUUCGGGUUGUAAAGCCCUUUUGUUGGGAAAGAAAAGCAGCAGGUUAAUACCCCGCUGUUCUGACGGUACCCAAAGAAUAAGCACCGGCUAACUUCGUG
rnacentral:rRNA from 1 species